CUUCAAACAAUGCGAGUUGGACAGUUUGCCUCCUGUCACUGAUGGAGCAUUACUACCACCAUGCAAAAGAGCCACUAGCCGGGCAAAAUCAGCUAGAUUAUGGAAGAGUGCAAGAGUCCAGUUGGACUUGUCUUAACUCGGCAAAAUUGAGGAGGAGUUCCCUAGGUACCUCGUGGAUGACUUGGAAGGCUGGUCCAAACCGGAGUUCGAUGGUCCUGAUGGAAAGGCGAACAUCUGCUCUCAUGACAUGCUCCAGGUGGGAUUUCCAGGGGCUCAGUUAA